rnacentral:tRNA from 1 species
GGGCCCGUAGCUCAGUACGGUUAGAGCGCCAGGCUCAUAACCUGGUGGUCAAGGGUUCAAAUCCCUUCGGGCCCACCA